AUUGAACGCUGGCGGCAGGCCUAACACAUGCAAGUCGAGCGGAGCGGCGGACGGGUGAGUAAUGCCUAGGAAUCUGCCUGGUCGUGGGGGAUAACGUCCGGAAACGGGCGCUAAUACAGCAUACUCGCCAAUAAGCCUAGGUCGGAUUAGCUAGUUGGUGGGGUAAAGGCAUACCAAGGCGAGGAUCCGUAACUGGGCUGAGGGGAUGAACAGUCACACUGGAACUGAGACACGGUCCAGACUCCGACGGGAGGCAGCAGUGGGGAAUAUUGGACAAUGGGCGCAAGCCUGAUGCAGCCAUGCCGCGUGUGUGAAGAAGGUUUUCGGAUUGUAAAGCACUUUAAGUUGGGAGGCGGUACCAACAGAAUAAGCACCGGCUAACUUCGUGCCAGCAGCCGCGGUAAUUC
rnacentral:rRNA from 1 species